AUAUCAAGAGUCCAAUUCUUCUAGAUUCAUUACAAGCAUUGCAAUAUUAAUGAACUUUGGAUCUUCUUCCUCAUGUUUUUUAUUUGCCUUUGAGUUUUCUUCUGCUGCCGCGAGGUUCGCUUGUGGAUGGCUGACUUGUUUCUUCAGCCGACGCGGACGUGUACACUCCCGCGCCCAAUGGCCCCAAUGGCCAUAGUUAUUGCACCUUCCGUUACGUUUAGCUGCUGGUCUUGGAGCAUACCCCUUAGCUUCUCGAAGCUGGGAAGCUCGUCGACAACCAACAAUCCUUGGACGAGUCCAUAUUCCUGCGGCAAUCUAUUUAGUGCGAUGUGAACCAAUCGUGAUUCAAAUAUCUCCUCUUCCAAUGAUAUUAUCUGCAUCGUGAUCUCAUUUAUUCUCUGUAAAUAAUUUGCAACGCAGCUUCCUUCCUCCACCGUAGUAGAAUGAAGCUGGUUGAGCAGCGGCAUCGUUCUGGUUGAGUUCUUCUUGUCGAAAAGGUCGUGUAGAGCUCUUCAGGCAUGCACAGGGUCGUCAAACUUGGCAAUGUGGUAUAUGCUAUUGUCCUUGACGGACAUUAUCAACAUCGCCAUUGUUGUGUACUUAUCAUGUAACUAUUGAGAUAUUGUGGUGUUGACGGGGUUGAUGACCUCUACGGUGUCAGUCGUAUGCUGCGAGUUUGUGCCAUGUGGAAAAAUAGCAUGCCAAAGCUUGUCUUUCAUGAAAAGGAUUUGCAUUUUUACCUUCCAAACUGAGAAGUUACUUGCUUGUUCCAGCUUGUGUGACUCGAUCAUUGAUGAGGUUUGUUCUAUGUUCAUGAUGCUUGGAACAUGAGGCAGCUCUCUCCUUUGCCUCGGAGUUGCCCGCUCUUGGCCUGUAAUAGAGCUCUGAAGUCCGAUUCCUGGCUUGCUCAAGUUCAUGUGGUGGCUCAAUUUCGAUGCUUUGCCAUGCCAAAAAUCUCCUGACUUUGUACUUCUCUUGCUAUCGCAAUAAUUAAAAAAAAGUUGGACCUUUUUUUGCCAUCUGGUCCUUACUAUGUCUACGAUGUAGUGCUGUCAAGGUUUCUGCCUUCUAGGUUUAGCAACCUGGCUCUGAUACCAUGUUGGAUCAACAAUGACAAACUAACUCACAUCGAGGCAGGGGUGCGAAAUGUUUUUACUUUCACCGACUUGUGUAUCAAAGGUUUCGCUUAUUAAACUGCUCAUCCACUUGGAAUUUGCUGCAGUUAUUUUCUCUGUUUCUAUAUCCAGUCUCACCGUUUAGUACUAGUGGCUGUGUUUACCUACAAGUGGAUAACUCCUAAUCUUGUAGUUGAUCCUAAUUAUUGUGAUAUCCACUAAUGUGUCUUGCUGACGUAGUGGCUUGGGGGAAUGUGAUGUGCUCCAUCAAAACAAGUAAACGGAGAGGAACAAAAAGAGAAAUUGACGGCAGCAACAACAGUCGUGAGAUGUGAGCAUGAUCGGCGGCAGUUGCAACUGCUGAGGAUCGAUAAAAAUAAUUCAAAAAAAUAAUCUAGGGAGGGUGCAAAAGCAGAAAGGAGAUUCUGGAAGCAUUUUCAAACCCGAAAGAAAUAGUGAGCAUUUGUUACAACCAAGGGAAGCUGUAUUCUAGCGUGGCAAUGAUAUAAUUCGGCGAGAAAGAAGGUGAUGUUGCAACUAGAUGGGACGAUGAUUCAUCGAGAAAAUAGGGGAGUAUCCACAGCAGCGGCGACGGAGCAAGCUGCUGUGCGAGAGAAACCAAGAAAAAUAAAAAUAAAAUAAACAGA